rnacentral:misc_RNA from 1 species
AGUCGUAACAAGGUAUCCGUAGGUGAACCUGCGGAUGGAUCAUUAUAGGAUGAUGGGUUAUUGUGAGUGGUUUUAUUAAUAGUUUGAGCGGUGUUGGUUGGGAUGCGAAGCAGGAUUGCCAAGCAGGAUUGCCAAGCAGGAUUGCCAAGCAAGACAGCCAACAUUGCCUCACGUUAAACUCUAUAAAUCUAACAAUUACAUACAACAAAAAACAACUUUUAGCAACGGAUCUCUUGGCUCUC